UUCAAGUAAUCCAGGAUAGGCUGUUACCAAGCAGCCCGGCCUAUUCUUGAUUACUUGUUUC
rnacentral:pre_miRNA from 1 species